AGUCACUGACAUUAGAUACCCCUGUAGUCCCAGCCGUAAACUAUGCGCGUUAGGUGUACUGGUGACCACGAGUCACCGGGGUGCCGAAGGGAAACCGUGAAACGUGCCGCCUGGGGAGUACGUCCGCAAGGAUGAAACUUAAAGGAAUUGGCGGGGGAGCACCGCAACGGGAGGAGCGUGCGGUUUAAUUGGAUUCAACACCGUAAAACUCACCAGGGAAGACUGUUACAUGAAGGCCGAGAUGAAGACUCUGCUAGAUUUUCAG
rnacentral:rRNA from 1 species